rnacentral:rRNA from 1 species
GAUGAACGCUAGCGGCAGGCCUAAUACAUGCAAGUCGUACGACAACACAGUUGCGAGCAAUCGCAACCGGUGGCGAGUGGCGCACGGGUGAGUAACGCGUAUGUAACCUACCCUUCUCCGGGACAUAACUCCGCGAAAGCGGUGCUAAUAUCCCAUACCAACUCAUCAAGACAUCUUCUUGAGUUGAAAGCAGCAAUGCGGUGAAGGAUGGGCAUGCGUCCCAUUAGCUGGUUGGUGAGGUAAUGGCCCACCAAGGCUACGAUGGGUAGGGGUUCUGAGAGGAAAGCCCCCCACACUGGUACUGAGACACGGACCAGACUCCUACGGGAGGCAGCAGUAAGGAAUAUUGGGCAAUGGUCGAAAGACUGACCCAGCCAUGCCGCGUGCAGGAUGAAGGCCCUAUGGGUUGUAAACUGCUUUUAGCCGGGAAUAAACACCCGUUUUAUAACGGGCCCGAAGGUACCGGCUGAAUAAGCAUCGGCUAACUCCGUGCCAGCA